rnacentral:rRNA from 1 species
GAUGAACGCUGGCGGCGUGCCUAAUACAUGCAAGUCGAGCGAACAGACGAGGAGCUUGCUCCUCUGACGUUAGCGGCGGACGGGUGAGUAACACGUGGAUAACCUACUUAUAAGACUGGGAUAACUUCGGGAAACCGGAGCUAAUACCGGAUAAUAUAUUGAACCGCAUGGUUCAAUAGUGAAAGACGGCUUUGCUGUCACUUAUAGAUGGAUCCGCGCUGCAUUAGCUAGUUGGUAAGGUAACGGCUUACCAAGGCAACGAUGCGUAGCCGACCUGAGAGGGGGAUCGGCCACACUGGAACUGAGACACGGUCCAGACUCCUACGGGAGGCAGCAGUAGGGAAUCUUGCGCAAUGGGCGAAAGCUUGACGAAGCAACGCCGCGUGGGUGAUGAAGGUCUUCGGAUCGUAAGACUCUGUUAUUAGGGAAGAACAAAUGUGUAAGUAACUAUGCACGUCUGGACGGUACCUAAGCAGAAGGCCAGGGCAAACUACGU